rnacentral:rRNA from 1 species
GACGAACGCUGGCGGCGUGCUUAACACAUGCAAGUCGAACGGUAAGGCUCCAGCUUGCUGGGGUACACGAGUGGCGAACGGGUGAGUAACACGUGGGUGACCUGCCCUGCACUUCGGGAUAAGCCUGGGAAACUGGGUCUAAUACCGGAUAGGACCGCACCGUGAGGGGGUGGUGGAAAGUUUUUUCGGUGUGGGAUGGGCCCGCGGCCUAUCAGCUUGUUGGUGGGGUAAUGGCCUACCAAGGCGGCGACGGGUAGCCGGCCUGAGAGGGUGGACGGCCACAUUGGGACUGAGACACGGCCCAGACUCCUACGGGAGGCAGCAGUGGGGAAUAUUGCACAAUGGGCGGAAGCCUGAUGCAGCGACGCCGCGUGGGGGAUGACGGCCUUCGGGUUGUAAACUCCUUUCACCAUCGACGAAGGGUUUCUGACGGUAGAUGGAGAAGAAGCACCGGCUAACUACGUG